UAGGGAAUCUUCCGCAAUGGGCGAAAGCCUGACGGAGCAACGCCGCGUGAGUGAUGAAGGUCUUCGGAUCGUAAAACUCUGUUAUUAGGGAAGAACAAAUGUGUAAGUAACUAUGCACGUCUUGACGGUACCUAAUCAGAAAGCCACGGCUAACUACGUGCCAGCAGCCGCGGUAAUACGUAGGUGGCAAGCGUUAUCCGGAAUUAUUGGGCGUAAAGCGCGCGUAGGCGGUUUUUUAAGUCUGAUGUGAAAGCCCACGGCUCAACCGUGGAGGGUAAUUGGAAACUGGAAAACUUGAGUGCAGAAGAGGAAAGUGGAAUUCCAUGUGUAGCGGUGAAAUGCGCAGAGAUAUGGAGGAACACCAGUGGCGAAGGCGACUUUCUGGUCUGUAACUGAAGCUGAUGUGCGAAAGCGUGGGGAUCAAACAGG
rnacentral:rRNA from 1 species